rnacentral:rRNA from 1 species
ACGGGGGGUGCAAGCGUUGUUCGGAAUCAUUGGGCGUAAAGCGCGCGCAGGCGGCUCGGUAAGUGAGAUGUGAAAUCCCUGAGCUUAACCCAGGUAGUGCAUUUGAUACUGCCUCGCUAGAGUACGGGAGAGGAAAGUGGAAUUCCUGGUGUAGAGGUGAAAUGCGUAGAUAUCAGGAGGAACACCGGUGGCGAAGGCGGCUUUCUGGGCCGAUACUGACGCUCAGGCGCGAAAGUGUGGGGAGCAAACAG